UUUUAUAUGACAAAGUGGAACUGAGUUCUUACCAAUGCUAAUUUUAUAGUUAAAUGAAUUGCUAUUCUUACCAAUGCUAAUUUUCAUUCCAUGAUCCUUCAUACUUUGCUGCAUGGAAUCUGUACAGGUAAUUCAGGAGGGCCAUUAAUUGAUUCUUAUGGCCAUGUUAUCGGAGUCAAUACUGCAACUUUUACUCGCAAAGGGACAGGAGUAUCAUCAGGUGUUAACUUUGCAAUACCAAUCGACACUGUUGUUCGAACUGUACCUUACCUCAUUGUGUAUGGAACAUCUUAUAAGGACAGGUUUUGAUCAUGUUUGUAAAUAAUAUGAAACAUGUACUUGGUUGGUCUUACAUCAAGCUUCGAAGAGUGGGGUUUUGAUCA